rnacentral:rRNA from 1 species
UUAUUUGUCUCAAAGAUUAAGCCAUGCAUGUCUAAGUAUAAGCAAUUUAUACGGUGAAACUGCGAAUGGCUCAUUAAAUCAGUUAUCGUUUAUUUGAUAGUACCUUACUACAUGGAUACCUGUGGUAAUUCUAGAGCUAAUACAUGCUAAAAACCUCGACUUCGGAAGGGGUGUAUUUAUUAGAUAAAAAACCAAUGCCCUUCGGGGCUCCUUGGUGAAUCAUAAUAACUUAACGAAUCGCAUGGCCUUGCGCCGGCGAUGGUUCAUUCAAAUUUCUGCCCUAUCAACUUUCGAUGGUAGGAUAGUGGCCUACCAUGGUGGCAACGGGAAA